rnacentral:lncRNA from 10 species
CUUCUUACUAGUCAAACUCCAUCUACCACCCCCCAUUCUUUCCACACCCACAGCAAUUCAAACAGGGAGGCUUCUGAGGCAACCAGUUAAAGAUGAGGAAACUGAUGCUUGCAGAAGUGAAUGACCAGCCUAAGGCCCACAGCUGAAAUUACAUCAUGUCUCAGGAAGUCUCCUCUCUCCAACAGAACCAGCGGAUAUUCUCAGCCAAGGCUUUGCAAGUAAGAAAAGAAGAUAAAUGGAUCCUGGUGCCGUUGUUUAAAGUGUGCAUGCUUGCUACAGAGUCUUCAUUUCAUAGUCCAGCCUCAACCAAUUCACCUAUGCAUUACGUUCCCACUGCCUCGCUUCUCACUGAAACGAACAAGACAUGGGAUGCUCUUGAUUGAUGCUAAUCCAUGAGCUGUGGACUGACUAGAGCUGAGAAGAUGGUCUCCAUUCUGGAUGUCAUAAGGAACAGAAAUGGCAAGCAAUUCACCAAUCUGUGUGCUCCUACUUCCUUACUAUAGAUUUGUCCAUAGAAGGCAGGAACUGUAUUUCCUCAUCUCUCUUGCUAAUGAAAUGUGAGGAGAAAUGACGUGUAUCCUCUCUACUCUUUCUUUCCUCACCUUUAAGCUAAAUGCAAAUGACAAUGAGGCCAAUGCUUAGAGGACUGCUGAGCCAUGAGAUGGAAGGAACUCAGGACAUGGAAGAAAACAACAUAUGAGACAAGAUAUAUCUAUCUGAGUCUGACAGUUAAAUGAAAAAGAAUUAAAUUUCAAUUAUGUUAUGCCACUGAGACUUAGAGGUCUACUUUUUUGCAGUAGCUAUUACUCUAACCUAAUACCAUACCCCUAAUAAAACAAUGUAAGAAAACAUUAAUUUUGAGAGGAG